UACGUAGGGUGCAAGCGUUAAUCGGAAUUACUGGGCGUAAAGCGUGCGCAGGCGGUGAUGUAAGACAGGUGUGAAGUCCCCGGGCUUAACCUGGGAACUGCAUUUGUGACUGCAUCGCUGGAGUGCGGCAGAGGGGGAUGGAAUUCCGCGUGUAGCAGUGAAAUGCGUAGAGAUGUGGAGGAACACCGAUGGCGAAGGCAGCCCCCUGGGUUAACACUGACGCUCAGGCACGAAAGCGUGGGGAGCAAACAGG
rnacentral:rRNA from 1 species